GGAGGAUCCGAGCGUUAUCCGGAUUUAUUGGGUUUAAAGGGUGCGUAGGCGGCCUUUUAAGUCAGCGGUGAAAGUCUGUGGCUCAACCAUAGAAUUGCCGUUGAAACUGGGGGGCUUGAGUAUGUUUGAGGCAGGCGGAAUGCGUGGUGUAGCGGUGAAAUGCUUAGAUAUCACGCAGAACCCCGAUUGCGAAGGCAGCCUGCCAAGCCAUGACUGACGCUGAUGCACGAAAGCGUGGGGAUCAAACAGGAUUAGAUACCCUGGUAGUCCACGCAGUAAUCGAUGAUCACUAGCUGUUUGCGAUACAGUGUAAGCGGCACAGCGAAAGCGUUAAGUGAUCCACCUGGGGAGUACGCCGGCAACGGUGAAACUCAAAGGAAUUGACGGCCNGUCAAUUCCUUUGAGUUUACGGGUGAUGGUAUUACCG
rnacentral:rRNA from 1 species